GACAGAGGGGGCAAGCGUUGCUCGGAAUUACUGGGCGUAAAGGGCGCGUAGGCGGGAUGGCAAGUCGGUCGUGAAAUCCCUCGGCUCAACUGAGGAUCGUCGAUCGAUACUGCCGUUCUUGAGGAUUGCAGAGGAGACUGGAAUUCCCGGUGUAGCGGUGAAAUGUGUAGAGAUCGGAAGGAACGCCGGUGGCGAAAGCGCACGACUGGAUCUCUUCUGACGCUGAGGCGCGAAAGCCAGGGGAGCAAACGGG
rnacentral:rRNA from 1 species